rnacentral:tRNA from 1 species
GGUCCUGUAGUGUAGCGGUUAGCACAUGAGAUUCUGAUUCUCAUAACCCAGGUUCGAUUCCUGGCAGGACCU